GCGUAAGCAUUCUGCCCCUAAGACGAGGAUAACAGUUGGAAACGACUGCUAAGAUUGGAUAGGCGAUAAGAAGGCAUCUUUUUAUUUUUAAAAGACCUAGCAAUAGGUAUGCUUAGGGAAGAGCUUGCGUCACAUUAGUUAGUUGGUGGGGUAAUGGCCUACCAAGACGAUGAUGUGUAGCCGGGCUGAGAGGUCGAACGGCCACAUUGGGACUGAGACACGGCCCAAACUCCUACGGGAGGCAGCAGUAAGGAAUUUUCGGCAAUGGAGGAAACUCUGACCGAGCAAUGCCGCGUGAACGAUGAAGUAUUUCGGUACGUAAAGUUCUUUUAUUAGGGAAGAAAAGAUGGUGGAAAAACCAUUAUGACGGUACCUAAUGAAUAAGCCCCGGCUAACUAUGUGCCAGCAGCCGCGGUAAUACAUAGGGGGCAAGCGUUAUCCGGAAUUAUUGGGCGUAAAGGGUGCGUAGGCGGUUAAAUAAGUUUAUGGUCUAAGUGCAACGCUCAACGUUGUGAUGCUAUAAAAACUGUUUAGCUAGAGUUGGAUAGAGGCAAGUGGAAUUCCGUGUGUAGUGGUAAAAUGCGUAAAUAUACGGAGGAACACCAGAAGCGAAGGCGGCUUGCUGGGUCUUAACUGACGCUGAGGCACGAAAGCGUGGGGAGCAAACAGGAUUAGAUACCCUGGUAGUCCACGCCCUAAACGAUGAGUACUAAACGUUGGAUAAAACCAGUGUUGAAGUUAACACAUUAAGUACUCCGCCUGAGUAGUACGUACGCAAGUAUGAAACUUAAAGGAAUUGACGGGACUCCGCACAAGCGGUGGAUCAUGUUGUUUAAUUCGAAGGUACCCGAAAAACCUCACCAGGUCUUGACAUGCUUUUGCAAAGCUGUAGAAAUACAGUGGAGGUUAUCAGAAGCACAGGUGGUGCAUGGUUGUCGUCAGCUCGUGUCGUGAGAUGUUGGGUUAAGUCCCGCAACGAGCGCAACCCUUGUUGUUAAUUGCCAUCAUUAAGUUGGGGACUUUAGCAAGACUGCCAAUGAUAAAUUGGAGGAAGGUGGGGACGACGUCAAAUCAUCAUCCCCCUUAUGACCUGGGCUACAAACGUGAUACAAUGGCUGUUACAAAGGGUAGCUAAAGCGUAAGCUUCUGGCGUAUCUCAAAAAAGCAGUCUCAGUUCGGAUUGAAGUCUGCAACUCGACUUCAUGAAGUUGGAAUCGCUAGUAAUCGCGAAUCAGCAUG
rnacentral:rRNA from 1 species